GGCCGCUGUGACCGACGAAGUACGAGGUGCAAAAAAAUCCGGCAUCGAUCCUUUUCUAGAUGCGGCCCGCGGCUGGCCUCGCGGGAUCCGCUGCUGCAGUCCUCCGUAGGUGGCCAUGUGUUUUGUCUCUGGCCUCUUCCCUCUUCGAUCCCUCCUCAUCACCAGACCUAUAUAUAUUUAUGGAAUAACGUGCUCCAGUUCCUCCUCCUUGCUUGCCUCACUUGCAUCGAGUGAAGAAGAGAAAAAGAAGAAGAUGAUGAUGAUCAUGAUGGGGCUUGCGCUUCUCCAGGUGGCGAUGGAUGUGAUGGUGGCGGGGAUUUCAUUCAUGCUGGUGUUGGGGAUCUUCGCCUUCGUCGCCACCAUUCUCUGCUCCGCCGCUUUUCUUCAAGCCAUCUCUUAAAAGAGAUCACCCGCCCAGAAGGCGAAAGAGAAGCCUACGUCUGAUUAGUCUUGUCCUUCUGGGCCUUGCAGAACAGAUUGCAUUUUUUGAUGUGCUUAAUCUUCAGUUUGAAGAUCUGUUCUUUAAUCAACUAUGCAACUCUGGGGUUAUGCUACUAUGCUACAUACAAAAAUUGCUUCAAAUUGUGUAAUGCUAUGUUCGAGCAUUGAAUCAUGAUGAUUUUCAGCAGCAUGGCUGUACAAGGUUGUAUAUCAUGUUCAGGAUGAUUAUAUGCCUUGCAUGAUUGUGCAAUAAAGAGUGCUCUAGUAAGUGUAAUUUUGUAUGCAACUCCUUGCAGAUGCUUUAUAAAAGUCUGCAUUUUUGAUAGA